UACGUAGGGGGCAAGCGUUGUCCGGAUUUACUGGGCGUAAAGAGCGUGUAGGCGGCCAGACAGGUCCGUUGUGAAAACUCGAGGCUCAACCUCGAGACGCCGAUGGAAACCGUCUGGCUAGAGUCCGGAAGAGGAGAGUGGAAUUCCUGGUGUAGCGGUGAAAUGCGCAGAUAUCAGGAAGAACACCCGUGGCUAAGGCGGCUCUCUAGUACGGUACUGACGCUGAGACGCGAAAGCGUGGGGAGCGAACAGG
rnacentral:rRNA from 1 species